CCAAUUGCUACGUUAGAUUUUGCAUCCCUGUAUCCAUCUAUUAUGAUGGCCUAUAAUUUAUGUAAUUGCACUCUGCUGACUUCUGAACCCUCCAGAGUCCGUGAACAGAACUCCAUCUGCAGAAGGGAAUACUUGCUGAAAUACUUGAAGAGCUAUUAACAGCCCGAAAAAGGGCAAAAGCAGACUUACAGGAGGCAAAGGAUCCCCUGGAGAGGGCAGUGCUAGAUGGAAGGCAGCUGGCCCUGAAAAUUAGUGCAAAUUCUGUGUAUGGCUUUACUGGGGCUACCAUUGGUCAGUUACCAUCUUUGGAGAUAUCAUCGACUGUAACAAGCUAUGGUCGACAGAUGAUUGAGCACACAAAAAAACUUGUGGAAGAUAAAUUUAGAACACUUAAUGGCUAUAAACACAAUGCUGAGGUAAUAUAUGGAGACACAGAUUCAGUCAUGGUACAAUUUGGUGUUUCUGAUGCAGAAGAGGGUGUUUCUGCUGUAGAACAGGCUAUGAACUUGGGGAGAGAAGCUGCCGAAUAUAUAAGUGAAACUUUCACAAAACCCAUCAAACUAGAAUUUGAGAAGGUUUAUUUCCAUAUCUAUUGAUUAGCAAGAAGAAAUAUGCUGGUUUGCUUUGGACAAAACCAGACAACUUUGACAAAAUGGACACUAAAGGUAUUGAAACAGUUCGAAGAGACAAUUGUUUGUUGGUGAAAAAUCUGGUGAAUGAUUGUCUUCACAAAAUACUGAUUGACAAGGACACUAAGGGAGCUAUCGAGUAUGUCAAGAACACAAUUUCAGAUCUUUUCAUGAAUCCAAUGGAUUUAUCUCUUCUGGUUAUUACAAAGUGUUUAACAAAGACCCAAGAUAAGUACAAAGUAAAGGCAUGUUCUAGAGAACAACAUACCUAUAGAUACUAAAUACUAUCUUGAGAAUCAAAUUAGCAAGCCGAUUCUGAGAAUUUUUGAGCCAAUUAUCCCGAAUGCUAGCAGAGAACUUUUCCAUGGAGAUCAUACAAGAUCUAUUUCAAUUUCUACUCAAUCAAACAAUAGCACAUUGAAAUUUGUCAAACAGCUUACCUGCAUUGGCUGUAAAGCUGUAGUAGGCAAGGAUCAUCACACUGUCUGUUCACAUUGCAAAGGAAUGGAAACUGAGCUAUACUGAAAAGCAAAAAUGAGCUAUACUGUCUGUUCAUAUUUAUUGAGUGAUUGUAGUUGUUUUCUUC
rnacentral:lncRNA from 1 species